GUUGCGCCCGAUAGACUUACCUCCACGUGGUGCACAUUAGGCAACGUAUACUCAUACGGCAAAAAAGUGAAU
rfam:Hymenolepis nana genome assembly, scaffold: HNAJ_contig0000454